AAGCUGCAUGUUUAUACUGAUUUAUUAUAACAAAUAUUUUUUGAUAUUUCUAGGAAAUUUUAUAGUUCAUACCUGAUACUGUAUGUUACACCCCGGCCUAGGCAACCGGGGUGCAACGUAGAAAAACAAAGAUAAGGAAAAUAAAAAUAAGGAAAAUAAAAAUAAGGUAAAAAAAACACACGAGAAAAAACUAAUACGGGUUUCCACAAAAAUCAUCCCAAAACGACCACUAUUUUCUUUAAAGCAAAAUGAUAUUUAUUUACAACGCAAGGCGCCAAACUAUUUACAACGGGGGGGGAAAAAGAUCGCGACCAUGACAACUGACACACAGGGCUUAAAUACAUGGAGGGAACAAUCAGGGAAUGGACAACAGGAGGGAAACACAGCUGGGGCAAAUCAGAACUGACGAGACAGGGAAAAUGUAAACUGAACACACUAAGAUGACACAGACUUUCAAAGUAAAGUAGGAAACACAUAACAGUCACGCAAAAACAACACAUUACCAACGCCAAAUCGUCAAUCCCGGAGGAGCACCUAGACACUCAAAUCCACACACAAUUACGGUCACAGCCGUAACACUGUAUAAGGUCCAUAUGCUAAGAUUGCGAUGUUUGUUGCUGUAUUUACUUAUGAAGACACUCCUUUGUAGCACCACACAAUAAUCACAUCAGUAAAGGUUUGUUGGUUAGAAACCGAUUCAUGCAUGUUACUGUAUCCCCCUGCUUUAGUAAGGAAGCUAUGCUAACGGAAACACUGACAUAUUUUUUAAUUUGAUUUUAUUUAUAUAGCACAACAACAGUCACCUCAAGGUGCUUUGUAUUGCAUGGUAAAGACCCUACAAUAAUACAGAGAAAACCCCAACAAUCAUAAAACCCCUAUUAUCAAGUACUUAGUGACAGUAGGAAGGAAAAACUCCCUUCUAACAGAAAGAAACCUCCCACAGGUCAGGCCCGUUUGCUGUGAGCGACUGGGGGUGAUGCAAAGAAGAUAAAAAAAAAACAUGCUGUGGAAAAG
ensembl:lncRNA